rnacentral:rRNA from 1 species
GAUGAACGCUGGCGGCGUGCCUAAUACAUGCAAGUCGAGCGAACAGACGAGGAGCUUGCUCCUCUGACGUUAGCGGCGGACGGGUGAGUAACACGUGGAUAACCUACCUAUAAGACUGGGAUAACUUCGGGAAACCGGAGCUAAUACCGGAUAAUAUAUUGAACCGCAUGGUUCAAUAGUGAAAGACGGUUUUGCUGUCACUUAUAGAUGGAUCCGCGCCGCAUUAGCUAGUUGGUAAGGUAACGGCUUACCAAGGCAACGAUGCGUAGCCGACCUGAGAGGGUGAUCGGCCACACUGGAACUGAGACACGGUCCAGACUCCUACGGGAGGCAGCAGUAGGGAAUCUUCCGCAAUGGGCGAAAGCCUGACAGAGCAACGCCGCGUGAGUGAUGGAGGUCUUCGGAUCGUAAAACUCUGUUAUUAGGGAAGAACAAAUGUGUAAGUAACUAUGCACGUCUUGACGGUACCUAAUCAGAAAGCCACGGCUAACUACGUG